UACGAAGGGGGCGAGCGUUGUUCGGAAUUACUGGGCGUAAAGGGCGCGUAGGCGGUGUGUCAAGUCAGGCGUGAAAGCCCCGGGCUCAACCUGGGAACCGCGCUUGAGACUGGCACGCUCGAGUCCGGGAGAGGAUGGUGGAAUUCCCAGUGUAGAGGUGAAAUUCGUAGAUAUUAGGAAGAACACCAGUGGCGAAGGCGGCUCACUGGUCCGGUACUGACGCUGAGGUGCGAAAGCGUGGGGAGCAAACAGG
rnacentral:rRNA from 1 species